rnacentral:snRNA from 1 species
GUCCACCCUUCAGCAGCUCAUAUAAUAAAAUUAGGAUGUUACAGAGAUUAGUGUGGACCCUGCACAAGGAUGGGAUGCAAUUUUGUGAAGCUUACCAUAUUUUU